rnacentral:lncRNA from 1 species
CUGUAACUGUGGCUGCAUAGGAGUAGGGCAUGGUUUUGUUGCAAGAAGACCAUUAUCCUGCAAUAAAUCCAAAGUAUACUUUCUUUGACAUAGUGUGUUUGAUGGAUUGACCCAUGAGCUGCUCAAUCAAUGUUUAAUUCUCCUAAUUUCUAGAACUAGUUAUUGGGAUCAGAAUAAUUAAAGUCUCUAAGUAUCAGUUACAUAGUAAAUGUUUUGCCUUUUUAUUUUCCUUAUGGCUGUAUAAGUACCANNNNNNNNNNNNNNNNNNNNCAAGCUGCAAUUUCAAUUGCUAAUGAUCCAGUGUUCCAUGGUAGAACCAAACACUUCAAGAUCAAGUUUUUCUAUCUAAGAGAAGUUCAAAAGGAUGGAGAAGUUCAGCUUGUCUAUUGUAGAACAGAACAUCAGAAUGCAGACAUCUUAACAAAGGCACUUUCAAAAACCAGAUUUGAGUUCAUGAGGAAAAGGCUUGGAAUAUGCAGCUCUAGUGCCAAGGAGGAGUGUUUGAUGGAAUGACCCAUGAGCUGCUCAAUCAAUGUUUAAUUCUCCUAAUUUCUAGAACUAGUUAUUGGGAUCAGAAUAAUUAAAGUCUCUAAGUAUCAGUUACAUAGUAAAUGUUUUGCCUUUUUUAUUUUCCUUAUGGCUGUAUAAGUACCAAGUUUUGCUGCUCAAUAAUAUAAUAAGCUUUUUUGCAGUCAGAUUACAUGUUAGUUCUUGUUUAUACAAUCACUAUAUUUCACUAAAUAACCAACAUAGUGAAAUGCCAUUAUGUGAUCUAGCCACUUCAAACCCUAGAAAAUAUUUCAAAUGACCUAAAUCCUUUAUGCUGAAUUUGGCAUCAAGUAAUGCUUUGAGCUGAUUAAUUUCAUUAAUAUCAGUGCCCCCCAUCACCAAAUCAUCAACAUAAACAAGAAUAGCAGUGAAUCCUGAUAUUGAUUGUUUAGUGAAAAGUGAGUAAUCAGCUUUAGAUUGCUUGUACCCUGAGGAGAUGAGUGUUUCAGUCAAUUUUGCAUUCCAUUGCCU